CCUACGGGAGGCAGCAGUGAGGAAUAUUGGUCAAUGGACGCGAGUCUGAACCAGCCAAGUCGCGUGAGGGAUGACGGCCCUAUGGGUUGUAAACUUCUUUUAUGAGGGAAUAAAACGAGGCACGUGUGCCUUUUUGCAUGUACUUUAUGAAUAAGGAUCGGCUAACUCCGUGCCAGCAGCCGCGGUAAUACGGAGGAUCCGAGCGUUAUCCGGAUUUAUUGGGUUUAAAGGGUGCGUAGGUGGGUUGUUAAGUCAGUUGUGAAAGUAUGUGGCUUAACCUUAAAAUUGCAAUUGAGACUGGCAGGCUUGAGUGUGUUAGAGGUAGGCGGAAUGCGUGGUGUAGCGGUGAAAUGCUUAGAUAUCACGAAGAACCCCGAUUGCGAAGGCAGCUUACUAAGCCGUGACUGACGUUGAUGCACGAAAGCGUGGGGAUCAAACAGGAUUAGAUACCCCAGUAGUC
rnacentral:rRNA from 1 species